UCGUAGUGCUGAUCUUACCACAUUUUGUAAUUUAUAGACUUUUCUUUCUUUCUUUUCUGCAUUUGUUCAGUAAUUCGAAUAAGUAUUUUCUCAGGUCUUAAAUAUAAAAGCAUGAAAUUUUGUACCAUAGUGCAAUAUACUGAAAAGAGGAUAUUGUUAUUAACUUGUAAUUAAUUUUCAGGCCAAGUCUGCAGAGCUGCACUUCAUUAUUUCUGAGAACUCUGCACUUUCUUGUUUAUCCUUGCCGCAAAUGGAGUGGCUUAUGAUCUGGCUCGUUGUUCCUUUUUCCUAUGCAUAUACUUCUUUGAGAAUUUCUUCUAAAGAGGUAUAGGGCAUGGGAAAAUGGGGCAGCUGAGGUACUUCACCACUCAUCCUGGGCAGCUUCAGGAAGGCAGCAGCAGAAAUGUUCAGAGAAAACAGAUGGGCCAGGAAAUGAAAGGUGCCAGGAGCAGCCAUCACUGAAUCCAGGUGUCUUGGAGGUGGAAGUAGAAGCUCUCUUUGCUCAUUUCAUUUAGUAGAAAAAUAAUUUUUUUAUGUUUCUGUCCAAUUACUUUCAUUUACUCUAAAUAGCAAUGUGUCACAGCAAUUCUGGGGGGAAAAUUCUGCUGUUAUGAAACAAUGUAAAUGUACAUAAUGCAUGUCAAAUAAAUAUCUAAUGUUUCCGUCACAGAUCAAAA